rnacentral:lncRNA from 1 species
UGCGAAUGGGGGAUGGGAAGGACGUGGUGUUUGCGGGGGGGUCUCACUCUCUGUUCCCUUGCAGAGCCCCCGUCCCGCUCUGCCCCGCUCCCUGCGCUGAUUGGGGCCGUCGCUGGCGCUGCCCUGCUCGCUGGGACAGUUGGGUUUGUUCUCUGGAGGAGGCGGCGCUCAGGGAAAACCAGAGCCAUCGACACUCCAGCUCAGGCCGGCAACCGGGACUCCAGCUCCUCUCUGGAAGCCAGCGACAAAGAAUCCAGCAAAGGAUCCAGCAGGGGUAAGUGCUGGGGGGUCCAGCCCCCCUGGGAUCGGCUGUGGUCACGGAGACCUCUAUGGGGAGACGCUUUCC